AGCUGGAAUCGCUAGUAAUCGCAGAUCAGAAUGCUGCGGUGAAUACGUUCCCGGGUCUUGUACACACCGCCCGUCACACCAUGGGAGUUGGAAAUGCCCGAAGCCAGUGACCCAACCGUAAGGAGGGAGCUGUCGAAGGUGGAGCCGAUGACUGGGUGAAGUCGUAACAAGGUAUC
rnacentral:rRNA from 1 species